UAGUACAGUAUUUCCUGCAGAUUUGUGCAGACGUUCAACUACCAACUGUGAAGGGAAAUACUCUGGAGAAGAUUAAUAAUGUAGUUCUGGAACAUAAAACCAUUUUGGCAAUGCACUAAAGUUUCAACCAAGCUCUGCAUCUCACAGCUGAAGAGCUGAAAGAAAAGAGAAGAAAAGAAAAGAGAAGAAAAGAAAAAAAAGGAAUGUCUUUCUACAGAUGGAUUGCAGGGAAUGUAAAGAAGAGUGCCAGUGAGAGGCAUUCAUUUCUGAACUCACUGUUUUUACCAGCUUGGAAGCAGGAGCGGAUUUGAAAGUGCACUGGUGCUUAAACAGGACUGAAGACUACUCUUAUUUGUAUUCCCCUGCCGUGCGCACACACAAGAAGACAUACAGAUGAUUAAGAACCCCUUUUCAGAAUCAGCAAAGCAUAUGAAUUGUCAGUUACCCGGAAGAUGGAGUUUAUAUAGACCAGCCUGGAUCCAGCAGGCCCUUCACACAACCAAGGUCUUUGGCAUCUUAGGUUCAAUAUUGCCACUGAACUCUUCAACCUAAGCAGAAUGUCAUACUAUGUUGCAAGGACAAACGAAGAUAGACAGCCAAAUCAAGUAAGUGGGCAUGCAGGCUGAACUGAAGGAAAUAUUGAAGUUUCUGACUUCUUCAGGGGUUGUGAACUCUGGAUUUUCCACAGGCGACAUGUAUGACUUCUAAAGCAGUUUCAACAAAACCACCUGCCAUACACAACAUUUCAUGGCCCGUCAAAGUCACCAGUGGGUUCUACAUCACUCCAAAAACUGCUACCGUAGACAAUGGAGAAAACAAACCAGUGCUUAAGGCUGGGUACCAAAUGCAAAACCUACCCAAGGGGCAAUCUCUUGAGUUUAGUAGUUACAUCUCCCUACAUUAAUAAAAAUGUCACUAGGGGGACCAAUUUUUUUUUAGGACAUUUGUGUAGCACUUUAUGUCUUUCAAGCACUGUAUUAAGUGUUGGGGUGGAUACACAGUCCGCCACGUACCUCCCAGUCA